rnacentral:rRNA from 1 species
UACGAAGGGGGCUAGCGUUGCUCGGAAUCACUGGGCGUAAAGCGCACGUAGGCGGCUUUCUAAGUCAGGGGUGAAAUCCUGGAGCUCAACUCCAGAACUGCCUUUGAUACUGGAGAGCUUGAGUCCGGAAGAGGUGAGUGGAACUCCGAGUGUAGAGGUGAAAUUCGUAGAUAUUCGCAAGAACACCAGUGGCGAAGGCGGCUCACUGGCCCGAUACUGACGCUGAGGCACGAAAGCGUGGGGAGCGUAAC